rnacentral:rRNA from 1 species
GACGAACGCUGGCGGCGUGCCUAAUACAUGCAAGUAGAACGCUGAAGGAGGAGCUUGCUUCUCCGGAUGAGUUGCGAACGGGUGAGUAACGCGUAGGUAACCUGCCUGGUAGCGGGGGAUAACUAUUGGAAACGAUAGCUAAUACCGCAUAACAGUAGAUAUUGCAUGAUAUCUGCUUGAAAGGUGCAAUUGCAUCACUACCAGAUGGACCUGCGUUGUAUUAGCUAGUUGGUGAGGUAACGGCUCACCAAGGCGACGAUACAUAGCCGACCUGAGAGGGUGAUCGGCCACACUGGGACUGCGACACGGCCCAGACUCCUACGGGAGGCAGCAGUAGGGAAUCUUCGGCAAUGGACGGAAGUCUGACCGAGCAACGCCGCGUGAGUGAAGAAGGUUUUCGGAUCGUAAAGCUCUGUUGUAAGAGAAGAACGAGUGUGAGAGUGGAAAGUUCACACUGUGACGGUAUCUUACCAGAAAGGGACGGCUAACUACGUG